GGCGGCGUGGGCUGUGAUGGCAGGGACCUCAAAGCUUACCCAGUUCCAUUCCCUGGCAUGGAAAGGGACAUCUUCCACAGGACCAAGUUGCUCCAAGCCCUGUCCAGCCUGGCCUUCACUUCUAGGGAUGGGGCAGCCACAGCUUCUCUGGACAACCUGUGCCAGGGCCUCACCACCCUCACAACCAAGAAUUUCUGCCCAAUAUCCCCUCUAACCCUGCCCCUGUCAAUGGGAAGCCAUUCUCCUUUUCCUGUCUUUCCAGGCCCUUGCCCAAAGUCCCUUUCCAUCUCUUUUGGAGCCCUGUUAGGCACUGGAAGGGGCUCCUACUCUUCUCCUCAGAGUCUUGUCCAGGCAGAACACCCCAAGCUCUCCCGGCCUGUCUCCAGAGUAGAGGGCCUUCAGCCUUUGAAACAUCUCCACGGCUUUCCUGGACUUGCCACACCAGCUGUUUGUCCUGCUGUUUGGGUCCCCAGAACUGGCCGUGUUACUCCAAAACAUAAAACCUGCUUUCCCUCUUGUUCUGUUGCUCCAAGCUCUUGCCAAGGUUCGGUCCUUUUUGUUCCUCUUACUUUUGGUCUGUUUUCUUUUGCAGACAUGACACAAGCCUAUAAUCAAACAACUGCAGGAUGUUCUCUGUCAGCAGCCACAGCCAGAAACACAGCAGGGGUCUGGAACAAGACAAACUUUAAGGUCCCUUUCAACCCAAACAAUUUGAUGGUUCUGUGACUGUGUGGCAAUGGCAUCUUUCAAAAAACAAGCAUUAGGUACCUUCAACUGAAUGCAGAUGAGUCACGUGUUCUCUGACGUAAAUAUGUAAAAUUACAAGAAAACAGAAAUAUGAAGUGAGUUAAAUCCUGUCUCUUAGUUGAGAUCCCAUGGAUCACUGUGUUAAGGGGAAAGCAUGAUUAUAUCUUUUCAGAAGACUAUUACAUAGGGUAAAGAGAUCUAAAUUGGAGAGAGAAAUAUUUAGAAAGAGCAGGAAAAAAGGCACAGAUUGCCCAGAGAAGCUGUGGCUGCCCUACCCUGAAAGUGGCUUGGAGCAACCUCAUCUAGUGGGAGGUGCCCCUGCUCAUGGCAGGGGGGUUGGAAUGAGAUGUCCUUGCAGGGAACAGGAUGAGCCAUCUGCAAAUAGAACUGUAUCUGGGCAAUGUGAAGGAACAUCAGUUAAAUCAGUCUGUGGAUUUGAAAUGUGCAUCACUUGCUCACACUGGAAUGAUCUCCAUCAUCAGGUAGAGGUAAUAGGCUCACUGGAUUUAGCGUGAUGCAUCUUCUUAAAUCAUCUUAUGCUUGUUCUGAUGUUGGAGUUGCUGCUGCUGACAGUAACUUAAUGCAUUCUGGUACUCCCGCUGCACCUGGGUCCAGGUGUGGACAGCUCUUCUGUCUCUUCAUUCUUGGUUGCUUUAGUUAGAGACUUAAGACUUAGUCAAUUCCCCCAACCUUGGAAUCCACAGUCAACAAAACACCACACCUCUGAGAAAACCUUGUGACCUGCUUUUUGUGACCAGACAUGGAAGCUCAAUUAUUGCCUCUAUUCUUUCUGGAUUUAUCAUUUGUUGCCCCUUUCCCAAAAUAAAACUAAGUAUUUCACCUUC